rnacentral:rRNA from 1 species
CUACGGGACGCUCCAGUGAGGAAUAUUGCACAAUGGGGGGAACCCUGAUGCAGCAACGCCGCGUGGAGGAUGACGCAUUUCGGUGUGUAAACUCCUUUUAUAUGUCAAGAAAAUGACGGUAGCAUAUGAAUAAGCACCGGCUAACUCCGUGCCAGCAGCCGCGGUAAUACGGAGGGUGCAAGCGUUACUCGGAAUCACUGGGCGUAAAGGACGCGUAGGCGGGUUGGAAAGUCAGGUGUGAAAUCCUACAGCUUAACUGUAGAACUGCACUUGAAACUUCUAAUCUAGAGUAUGGGAGGGGGAGAUGGAAUUAGUGGUGUAGGGGUAAAAUCAGUAGAUAUCACUAGGAAUACCUAAAGCGAAGGCGAUCUCCUGGAACAUUACUGACGCUAAGGCGUGAAAGCGGGGGGAGCAAACAGGAUUAGAUACCCCCGUAGUC